GACGAACGCUGGCGGCGUGCUUAACACAUGCAAGUCGAACGGAAAGGCCCCUUUGGGGGUACUCGCGUGGCGAACGGGUGAGUAACACGUGCGUAACCUGCCCUUGACUUCGGGAUAACUUCAGGAAACUGGGGCUAAUACCGGCUAGGAAUCCUUGCUGCAUGCUGGGGGUUGGAAAGCUUCGGCGGGUUUGGAUGGACUCGCGGCUUAUCAGCUUGUUGGUGGGGUAGUGGCUUACCAAGGCUUUGACGGGUAGCCGGCCUGGGAGGGCGACCGGCCAAAUUGGGACCUAGGGACGGCCCCGACUCCCAAGGGGGGGAGCAGGGGGGAAGAUUGCAAAAAGGGCGGAAGCCCGGUGCAGGAACGCCGCGGGGCGGAAGACGGGCUUCGGGUUGGAAACCGCUUUCAGCAGGGGCGAAGCUUGGGGUGACGGUACCUGCAGAAGAAGCACCGGCUAACUACGUG
rnacentral:rRNA from 1 species